CUGGGGGUGCUAAUACAUGCAAGUCGAGCGGAUCUUUGGGAGCUUGCUCCCAAAGAUUAGCGGCGGACGGGUGAGUAACACGUGGGCAACCUGCCUAUGAGACUGGGAUAACUCCGGGAAACCGGGGCUAAUACCGGAUAAUUCUUUUCUACACAUGUAGAAAAGCUGAAAGAUGGUUUCGGCUAUCACUCAUAGAUGGGCCCGCGGCGCAUUAGCUAGUUGGUGAGGUAACGGCUCACCAAGGCGACGAUGCGUAGCCGACCUGAGAGGGUGAUCGGCCACACUGGGACUGAGACACGGCCCAGACUCCUACGGGAGGCAGCAGUAGGGAAUCUUCCGCAAUGGACGAAAGUCUGACGGAGCAACGCCGCGUGAGUGAUGAAGGUUUUCGGAUCGUAAAACUCUGUUGUUAGGGAAGAACAAGUACCGGAGUAACUGCCGGUACCUUGACGGUACCUAACCAGAAAGCCACGGCUAACUACGUGCCAGCAGCCGCGGUAAUACGUAGGUGGCAAGCGUUGUCCGGAAUUAUUGGGCGUAAAGCGCGCGCAGGUGGUCUCUUAAGUCUGAUGUGAAAGCCCCCGGCUCAACCGGGGAGGGUCAUUGGAAACUGGGAGACUUGAGUGCAGGAGAGAAGAGUGGAAUUCCACGUGUAGCGGUGAAAUGCGUAGAGAUGUGGAGGAACACCAGUGGCGAAGGCGACUCUUUGGCCUGUAACUGACACUGAGGCGCGAAAGCGUGGGGAGCAAACAGGAUUAGAUU
rnacentral:rRNA from 2 species